UACGUAGGGGGCAAGCGUUAUCCGGAUUUACUGGGUGUAAAGGGAGCGUAGACGGCAGAGCACGUCUGAAGUGAAAGCCCGCGGCCCAACUGCGGGACUGCUUUGGAAACUGCCCGGCUAGAGUGCUGGAGAGGUAAGCGGAAUUCCUAGUGUAGCGGUGAAAUGCGUAGAUAUUAGGAGGAACACCAGUGGCGAAGGCGGCUUACUGGACAGUAACUGACGUUGAGGCUCGAAAGCGUGGGGAGCAAACAGG
rnacentral:rRNA from 1 species